rnacentral:lncRNA from 1 species
AUGGGAGGGAGAGAAAGGCCCAGCGGGGGAGGCUUUGAGAGUACUUUAAUCCAUCCUUCCUCUCAGCCUUCCUAUUCCCCUGAAAGGACUUAUGCAUUCAAUUAUAACUAUAAACAACAAUCCCAAGCUAUGACCCUAAGACUGCUCAUCACUAUAGGAUCUGUCACCAGAGUGAUUUCUUUUUAUGACAAGGAGCCUAGUCACACCCAGGACAAAAUUCCAUUUGGGAAAGGAAAUAAAACCUGCAGACCAGAAUGUGGGGACCUUGUUGGGGGGCACAGAAGAAGGAGAACAGCCAAUCCCCUUGAGGAAGGACUCAGGACAGCAAGAGAUGCGAUAGGCCCUAGAUCACUGGGGUGGAAGUUGGAGGGCCCAGGAAGGACAGCUCCCCCAGACACAGCCAAGCAGCACACCUGGAGGUGGUCUCGGAUGUAACUGGCAAAGAUACCCUAAAGACCGAGUGAAAGGGCUGGGGAUUUAGCUCAGUGGUUCGGUGGCCUGCCUUGCAAGCGCAAGGACUCGAGUUCAAUCCCCGGUACCAAAAAAAAAGACCGAGUGAAAGGCAGUAGAAACAAGUAUGCCCUCUGGUGUUGACUAUGGAUUUGCCAUAUUCUCAACUAAGAAGAGCAACAUACUUAUCCCUAUGUGUCUCAAUCCUGGCCUGAGGACAGCUGUCUCAGAAUCGCCCAGAGGGGUCUGAGAAAAAUGCAGCUUCAGGGCUCCACCCCAAGCUCUCCAACUAAAUGAAUCCAGGGGCAAUCCAGGAAAGAUGGAGAAGCUUGUGUCAUCCCAAGCUCUAAAAUGUGGCUGUAGGACAUGGUCCCCAAAUAAAGCCAAAGAGCCCUGGAACUGAUUCACAGUGAUGCUCCUUCUGUCUAUACCUGCCCUGCCUGACCACCACACCACACUUUCUCUGGCUUCUCAGCCCAUGACACAUGCAAGUGGGAACUGAGCCUUUCUACUCUCCCCAAAGUCGCACCUGUCCCUUCAGCAGCCCA